AGAAUGAUUUUUGACAUUUAUAACAAAGAAAAAAAUGUAUCACAAAAAUAUGUCACAAAUAUUCCAAGUGCAAAUUGCAGGCAUUCUGGCUGGUUUAUGAGGAUUGGAAGAUUAUACAGAUAAGUGCCUAAUGUAAUGCUUUUUAUUACAAAAAUUCAGAAUGCUCACUGUAUAAGAUCCGUGUACUCACAAGCAUAAAAUAAAGAUUUUUACUUUCCACUCCUGACCAAGAUAGAAAGUAAUUCUUCCGGAUGGAACAGUUGAUGGUCUCGUGUCUUGUUGAGCCAAGAAAGGCUGCUGAAGAGUAUUCAAGACUUUGCAAGCAUCAGCUGACCUUAAAGAUGUUGUGGAGGUCAUCUUUGAAGCCUAUGCAUCAGGAAUGAAUUCCAUUGUGAUUUAUGCUGUAUGCACAUUUGGAAGCGACUAAUAAUUACACUUUAACAUGGCACGUUAGUUGAAGUGUUUUGUAUACAAGUUGAUAGGACUCGGGCAAGGAUUUAGUCCACUAACUAAUAAAGACUAUAGUGAUGAGUUAUCCUAUGACUAAGUAACCAGAUUUCACUAGUUUCAUUUUUUUCUGGCUGCAGAGUUGGUUCUCUUACCUACUCUUGCCAUAUGAGAAUACGUAGAGAAAGGGCAAACACUGAACCACAUAUCUUUAGUGAUUUGUUCCCUAUUCGGUACCCUCCCAGGCAACCACCAUUGGUUUAGAGCCAUUUUCUGUGGCAGCCCCAGCCAUUCUGUUCAAUAACCAUUAAUAGAGCUGUCACCCGUUAAUUUAUCCACUCCCUUUUUGAACCUGGAUCUGCCCUCUGCCUGCACCACCUCUUGGGGCAAUGAAUUCUACAAGUUAACCGAGCAUUGCGUAAAAAGCACAAGCCUGUUUUAACAGUGGGGCUCUAGAGAGAAGUGUUUUUAUUUCAGGCUUCUUCAUUUUUGAAACCCUGAGCUUUGGUCACUUCCUGGGGUGGAAUCAGCAGGGUAGCUUGCUGUAGAAGUGCAGUAGCUCAGAGCAACGUGCAACACUGCAAAACUUUACUGCAGUAAUACCACGUUUCAACCCCAUUACCCUACCAAAGAAAAAAUAUCCUGGAAGAAGUUGCAGUCAAAGAACAGAGCUAGACACAGGAGGCAGAUAUAGUAUAACAACGUGCACUUCAUCCCAUUAUUAAAUGUUUUCCAACCACUAUCUACAUAGGGCAUAGGUAUUGAAUGUUUGGGAAUCACAGCAGAGGUGGUUUUCCAGCCAACGUUGUAACAUUGCCAAAGUUUGAGGUAGCUUGAAGUUUCACAAGUUUCUCUCCUUUUAUAUUUUCCAGUCAUGUCAUUUGUAAUCUGAGAAAUCUUGAGGCUCCUGCUCAGCCUGCUUGGCAUGCCCAACAUUCAGACAGAUGACUAGUGAUCUCAUACAAAUAACAGAACAGUACACCAAUCAAGGUUGACCUUCCAGAAACUGAAGAACCUCUGAAGUCCUGUGCAACCCCCUCCUGUACUUAAAAAAAAAAAAAAAAAAAAAUUGCAGUUCUUUACCAUUUUGUUUCCUGUGAAGCAUUAGUCAACUCUUCCCACCCCCCCCAAAGUGUUAGGAUAGUUCACUCAAGCUGUGGCUUGGUAUUUUAACCAGAACAAUGGUAACUCACCCCUAACAACAUUUU